AGCUCCAAUAGCGUAUAUUAAAGUUGUUGCAGUUAAAAAGCUCGUAGUUGGAUAUCUGGUGGGAGCAAUGGGUCUCGCACUCUGUGCGGGUACUUCAAUUGACUCCGGCCAUCCUUGGGGAGAGCCUGUGUGGCAUUAGGUUGUCGUGCAGGGGAUCCCCAUCGUUUACUGUGAAAAAAUUAGAGUGUUCAAAGCAGGCUUAUGCCGUUGAAUAUAUUAGCAUGGAAUAAUAAGAUAGGACUCCGGUACUAUUUUGUUGGUUUGCGCGCCGAAGUAAUGAUUAAUAGGAACAGUCGGGGGUAUUCAUAUUCCGUUGUCAGAGGUGAAAUUCUUGGAUUUACGGAAGAUGAACUACUGCGAAAGCAUUUACCAAGGAUGUUUUCAUUA
rnacentral:rRNA from 1 species